rnacentral:lncRNA from 1 species
CACAAGUCUCUGAGUAACUGAACACCCUGGAAGAGUCACUUAGAAGGGUCUGGAAAGCCACUGAAUAAACUGUAAGGAUCAGCGCGGCACUUGCUUAGGAAAUGUCCUCUGAGGGAAAGAGGAGCGUGGAUCUACGGCAACGUAUUUAUCAAAACUCGAGUGAAAUCUACACCCAAACCUAAAGCUGACUUCACAACGUGAAGAUGUAGCUACCGCUGGUUUCAGUACAAGGACAUCCCAGUCUCAGAGCUCAGCAGAGAAAUCUCGUGUCAGUGAGGACAGCAUCGCCUGUGGACCGGCGGCUGCGGCGGCCUCGUCUCCCGCCCCUCUAAGCCCUGACCCAGGCCACUUGCCUUUCUCUCUCCAGAUCACUUGACCUCCCCACUUCACUCUUGUUUGCAGUUCUACCAACUCGAAUGUUUGAAAAGGAAGCAAAUCAGAUGGAUUCAACACACUCGCUUGUCUGGCUUUAGGAGAGCACUGAGGAUUUGGAGGCGGGUAUAGCAGUCAUUGUGACUCACAGAGCAGCAGCUCUCAGCAAAAUGACAGCUAAGUGUAGACUCAGUGAACCAAAGAGGCACAGCUGUGGCAUCUAAAAAAGAAAGCACAGGGAAAGGUGGGCUGCUUAAGUUGAGAUGCUCAAAAAGCCCUCCCUGAGAAGGCUUGAAAACCCAGAAAUGAUGAAGGAGAUGACGUCAGGUGCACAGUGAGUCCAGGGGAAUAUUCACAGCAGAGGAACCAGGAUAGCCAGGGUCCAGAGCAGCUGGCACUGGACCAGCUGGGAAGGUAGGCAGCCACUGUGGCGGCCCAGGGAGAUGACCGGCAGGAUGCAGGUGCUGAGGACACAGGUGCUGGGGACACAGGUACUGGGCAGGAGGUGGCAGCUGUGUCAGUGGUGCUUUCUGAAGACACCCUCUGCUCCGUGUGCAGGAAAUAGUGGGAAGGAAUUCGCGUGCGCUAUAAUGAAGCUGGAUAUUUUCUGCUACCGUCGUGCGACGCUCAGGGCUGGCGUUUCACAGGAAAGACCUAAAGACUUGGCUCAUAGCUUGGGAGGCUGAAAGUCCAAACAGCACGGUGCCAGUCUGGUGGGGUCUUAGCUGAGUGUGUUCCACCACAGCAGGUGUAUGGCGGGGGUCACAGGCUGGAGUCAGAGGCGGGGUUGGGCCAGGCCUCCUCCCUUUGUGACAGUCCACUCCCGGGCACUGUGUCAGGAUUCCCCCAAGAACAUCCUUGACCCUGUUCCCAGAGACUAACAACCUCUCAAGGCCUCCAGCAUUCAAGGCCCACCACCUUUCAUCAUUGCCACAGGGGCUAGGCCUCCGGCUCCGGAACCCUUGGCGACAAACCACAUGCGACCCGUGUCCACCAUCCAAGCUGUAGCAACGGGGGCGGAGCUGGCAUGAAGCAGAGAUCUCCCCGGGAGGAAGAGGAGGCCCGGAUCCCCCCUCCACCAGCUGAGCACUCCCUCCUCGUCUCAGGGCAAGCGCCUGCUUAGUUGCAACAAUCCGCUCCUGCAAAACAAGAACAAACCUUUAGGGUCCCAUAGUCCAAAAUGCCUUUCAUUAAACAAAGAAUCUCAUGUCCAGCUCUCCAUAACAGUCUGUGUAGAUGCUCAAGCUCCACCCACCAGGGAAAAUCUUGCUGACCUUAGAGAAGACGUGUGACAAAGCAUCAUGUGGCCCACAUCCUCACGGCACCAGCCUGCAGCCCCACAGCUGACUGCUCCAGGGCUCCCUGCUCAGCGAGGCCAGCUUCAUGCUGGACUGUGCUCUGUGGGCACCACCAGGCUGGCUCGCUCUCUCCCUUCUGGAGCAUGCUCAGUUCUUCCAAAAUAAACCAUGCCUCCUGCCCAAGGGGUGGACCUUACCUUGAUUGUUUUCCUUUUGGGGAUGAGUAAGGGAAAGCUCCAAGUACCAAGGAAUAAUCCUUUCCCCAAAAGCCCUGCAUUACUGGAGCCAGGAAAUGUGCUGACAUUCCUUUCACUUUGCCUGACAAUGGGGUCAAGGGCUUGGGUAGCUUAGGGCCCCAGGACUGAAACAGUUCACUUGACCCUUGGGGACCUGUAACAGAAGGAAGAAUCUGCUACCUGCUGCCAGGCCCUGCCGUCAGCAGGACUGUUCUGACAUGUUUUCCACCAGCAUAUUUUGAAUAAAGUAAUGAAGAUGUCCAGCCACAACUCUUUGUCAUUUGGAGCUCUGAAGGGUCAACAUGUUUUACUAUGAAUGGAAACAUCACAAAACAGUAAGCUUUUUGGCAAAAGAAGGUUUUCAGAAGGAUUUUGCAGGUAUUACGUACUUUAGUCCCUUGUUGAAAAUACAUAAUUUAUCGUCUGGAAAGGAACUCAAGUGAUUGCUUGAGACAACUGACAAAUGGUCAUGAUCUAUAAAUUCCUUCUGCUUCCCAUGAGAAAGGAAAGGAAUGUUAUUAUAUUAUGUUGUCAAACCGUCUCCCAAGACGUGAGCCCUAAAGGUUGCCGACAGUGAUGGAGGCCUGUCACUCGUGACUGGGGACACUGCCUUGUCUGUCUGUCUGUCCCUGUCACCAAGCCUCAGGGACCCCAUCCGUGACUCCAGCCGUGUCACCAACUCCAUAGGGCAGAGAUCAUAGGGUGCACAUGGAGGCCGCCCAGCCAUGCAAAAUGUUACUUCCUGGAAGAUAAAUUGAAAUUCACUCCACCCCUACCUUGCUGAUUCAAACUGUCAUUUUUAUUAUCAUAUUUGUUUGGAUCUAUUUAUAGCUUGUGCCUCUGCUCUGCCUACUGUCCUUCCAAGACCUUGUUAUUUCUACUACUGUAGCUUUAUGCUACCAGGUAGAGCUACUCUCUGUUGUAGGAGUUUGGGGUUGAUGUAGAAGAAAAGUGAGAACUCAGAACUCCAAGUGGCACCGCUCCCCGGGUGGAGCAGACAGAACGUGUACAGAGAGAGGCUGUUCAUGCUGUGUUUGUCUUCAUAAGUGAAGUGUGUCUAACUAUGCGAUGCUAGGUUGACAAGCAGCCACAGUGCAGCUUUGCCAUGAACGCAGGGAGUUGUGAUGUUAGAACAUGCGUGCUCUGAGCUGUGGGCCAGGCCACGGGGAGGAACCAUGUGAUCACUCCAGUACACAGGGGAGAAAGAGCUUUCAAUUCAGUCCCACAGCCAGAGUUUGCUAGAAACUCUAAGUGAAAUGGGAUAGACAACCUGGUUAAAAGAUGCUUCUCCCAAAGCAAAAGCCAGCAGCAUGGAAGCCGAUGCGAUUGGAUGAGAGGAUUAGUAAAUGAAAGUCAUAGAUAUGGGGAGAGAGAGGGAGGGAGAGAGAGAGAGAAGAGGAAAUAUUUAUGUAAAUUAUCCUACUCUAUAUCCAGAAGAUCCAAGAAAAAUUAUAAUGCAACAUUGUUUGAAAUGAACCUAUUGCAUGUGGUUUCUAAUUAACUUAUUUCUCCAUUUACCUGCCUUUGGCCUUUUCUUUCUUUAUGGGUUUACGGCCACUGCUUGUGUUAGGAAUUCUCCUGUGAGCUCCGUGUGUGUUCCAUAAGUCUUUACCACAUUUCAAAAAUUUUAAAAUGCAUUUCUUUCAUAUUUUAACAUUGACAGCUAUGAGCUAGAAAUUUGUUUUAUG